rnacentral:rRNA from 1 species
UACAGAGGUCCCGAGCGUUGUUCGGGUUUAUUGGGCGUAAAGGGUGCGUAGGUGGCAAAGUAAGUUGGAUGUGAAAUCCUGGGGCUCAACCUCAGAAUUGCAUUCAAUACUGCUUAGCUAGAGAGCUGUAGAGGAGACUGGAAUUUACGGUGUAGCAGUGAAAUGCGUAGAUAUCGUAAGGAACGCCAGUGGCGAAAGCGAGUCUCUGGGCAGCAUCUGACACUGAGGCACGAAGGCUAGGGGAGCAAACGGG